rnacentral:rRNA from 1 species
CCAAAAACAUAGCCCUCAAAACAAUUGAAGGUGAAACCUGCCCAAUGAUUUAAUACACUAAAUUUAAAAAUUUAAUAAAAAAAAAAUUAAAUGGCUGCAGUAACUAUGACUGUAAAAAUGUAGCAUAAUAAUUCGCCACUUAAUUAGUGGAUAGUAUGAACGGUUUAACGAAAAUUCCACUGUCUUAUAUAAUAAAAAAAAAAUUUAAAUCAUAGUUAAGAUGCUAUGUAAAACUGUAAGACGAAAAGACCCUAUAAAGCUUAACUAUAUUUCUUAAUAAUUUAAUAAAAAAAAACUUAAAAUAAUUAUUUAUUAAGAUUUGGUAGUUUCAUUGGGGCGAUGAUCUCUAAAAAUAAACAGAGAUAAACCUAUAUAAUAAUAAAAUUUACUGUAUAAUUAAUAAAUUUAACAGUUACAAAGUAGGGUAUAAUGACCCAUUAAUUUUAUAAAAAGAAUUAAUGAUCAAUAAAUAAAAGCUACUUUAGGGAUAACAGGAUAAUAAUUUCUUAAAGACCCAAUCGAAAAAAAAGUUUAUCACCUCGAUGUUGAAUUAAGAUAACCUAAUGACGCACCAGUAAUUAAAGGUAGGUC